rnacentral:rRNA from 1 species
UACGUAGGGUGCGAGCGUUGUCCGGAAUGAUUGGGCGUAAAGAGCUCGUAGGCGGCUUGUCGCGUCGGAUGUGAAAGCCCGGGGCUUAACUCCGGGUCUGCAUUCGAUACGGGCAGGCUAGAGUUCGGUAGGGGAGAUCGGAAUUCCUGGUGUAGCGGUGAAAUGCGCAGAUAUCAGGAGGAACACCGGUGGCGAAGGCGGAUCUCUGGGCCGAUACUGACGCUGAGGAGCGAAAGCGUGGGGAGCGAACAGG